GUAAUAAUCAAAGAACCCGAAGACGAGCGACCUAGGCCUGAGCAGGUUGAAGGGUGGAUAAAUUCUGCCGCGGAAGACCGAACCCGUGACUGUGGCAAUAGUCUGGGAUGACUUGGGUCUAGGAGUGAAAGGCUAAUCAAGCUCGUGCAUAGCUGGUUUUCGGCGAAACACAUUUAGGUGUGGCGUUGUUGAACAAUUGUAGAAUUUAUGGAAAUUCCUGGGUGUGGGUGGGUCUAAGCUGCUACGCUCCCGUGAAAACUCUGAAUUUUUGCAAAGUUUACAACAAUAGAAAGGCUCUGGGUGCGAAGGUCCAGAGCCAAAAGGGAAACAGCCCCUAAAGCAUGUUAAGGUCCUUAAAGAAGAGCUUCGUGGAAACAAGAGUUUAAAAGCAUAAACCCUCCAUAGGUAGGCUUGGAAGCAGCCAGUCUGGAAUGAAAGCGUAAUGGCUCAUGGAGAGAGCUUCGAAGCAUUCGAUAUAUCCGGGGCCAAAGCUCUUUACCUAUACAGCUUUUGCAUUU
rnacentral:rRNA from 1 species